GUGUUUUAGACUUGAACAGGUCAUAAGUAUGUGUGUGUUUUAGACUUGAACAGGUCAUAAGUAUGUGUGUGUUUUAGACUUGAACAGGUCAUAAGUAUGUAUGUGUGUGUUUUAGACUUGAACAGGUCAUAAGUAUGUGUGUGUUUUAGACUUGAACAGGUCAUAAGUAUGUGUGUGUUUUACACUUGAACAGGUCAUAAGUAUGUGUGUGUUUUACACUUGAACAGGUCAUAAGUAUGUAUGUGUGUGUUUUACACUUGAACAGGUCAUAAGUAUGUGUGUGUGUGUUUUACACUUGAACAGGUCAUAAGUAUGUAUGUGUGUGUUUUAGACUUGAACAGGUCAUAAGUAUGUAUGUGUGUGUUUUAGACUUGAACAGGUCAUAAGUAUGUGUGUGUUUUAGACUUGAACAGGUCAUAAGUAUGUAUGUGUGUGUUUUAGACUUGAACAGGUCAUAAGUAUGUAUGUGUGUGUUUUAGACUUGAACAGGUCAUAAGUAUGUAUG